CUCACGGUAUGACGGUAUCUAACCAGAAAGUCACGGCUAACUACGUGCCAGCAGCCGCGGUAAUACGUAGGUGGCAAACGUUGUCCGGAUUUAUUGGGCGUAAAGGGAGCGCAGGCGGUUUAUUAAGUCUGAUGUGAAAGCCUUCGGCUUAACCGGAGAAGUGCAUCGGAAACUGAUAAACUUGAGUGCAGAAAAGGAUAGUGGAACUCCAUGUGUAGCGGUGAAAUGCGUAGAUAUAUGGAAGAACACCAGUGGCGAAGGCGGCUCUCUGGUCUGUAACUGACGCUGAGGCUCGAAAGCAUGGGUAGCAAACAGGAUUAGAUACCCUGGUAGUCCAUGCCGUAAACGAUGAAUGCUAGGUGUUGGAAGGUUUCCGCCUUUCAGUGCCGCAGCUAACGCAUUAAGCACUCCGCCUGGGGAGUACGACCGCAAGGUUGAAACUCAAAGGAAUUGACGGGGACCCGCACAAGCGGUGGAGCAUGUGGUUUAAUUCGAUGCUACGCGAAGAACCUUACCAGGACUUGACAUCUUCUGCCAAUCUAAGAGAUUAGACGUUCCCUUCGGGGACAGAAUGACAGGUGGUGCAUGGUUGUCGUCAGCUCGUGUCGUGAGAUGUUGGGUUAAGUCCCGCAACGAGCGCAACCCUUAUCUUUA
rnacentral:rRNA from 2 species